rnacentral:rRNA from 1 species
AUUGAACGCUGGCGGCAUGCCUUACACAUGCAAGUCGAACGGCAGCACGGGAGCAAUCCUGGUGGCGAGUGGCGAACGGGUGAGUAAAGUAUCGGAACGUGCCCAGUCGUGGGGGAUAACGUAGCGAAAGGUACGCUAAUACCGCAUACGAUCUAUGGAUGAAAGCGGGGGAUCGCAAGACCUCGCGCGAUUGGAGCGGCCGAUAUCAGAUUAGGUAGUUGGUGGGGUAAAGGCUCACCAAGCCGACGAUCUGUAGCUGUGCUGAGAGGACGACCAGCCACACUGGGACUGAGACACGGCCCAGACUCCUACGGGAGGCAGCAGUGGGGAAUUUUGGACAAUGGGCGAAAGCCUGAUCCAGCCAUGCCGCGUGCUGGAUGAAGGCCUUCGGGUUGUAAACUGCUUUUGUACGGAACGAAAAGGUUUGGGCUAAUAAGCUGAGCUCAUGACGGUACCGUAAGAAUAAGCACCGGCUAACUACGUGCCAGCCGCCGCCGUAA